rnacentral:rRNA from 1 species
UAAACGGACCAUCGAGUAUCCAUUGGAGGGCAAGUCUGGUGCCAGCAGCUGCGGUAAUACCAGCUCCAAUAGCGUAUAUUAAAGUUGUUGCAGUUAAAAAGCUCGUAGUUGGACUUGUGUGCGCUGUCCGCGGGUGGCCUGCGCCCAAAAGGGCGUUUCGGUUCGGCCCCGGUGGCGCCUUGAAAUCUGCAGCUGGGGGGACGUUGGCCUUAACUGGUCGGCGACCGCACGCCGGCUGCUCGGUUACUGUGAGAAAAUUAGAGUGUUCAAGGCAGGCAUUGGGUGCAAUUGAAUACAUUAGCAUGGAAUAAUAAAAUAUGGCUCCUGCCGUAUUUUGUUGGUUUUGACUGGUGGGAGUAAUGAUUGAUAGGGACGGUUGGGGGUGCUAGUAUUGAGCGGCCAGAGGUGAAAUUCAUGGAUUCGCUCAAGACUAACUUAUGCGAAAGCAUUCACCAAGGACGUCCUCUUUAAUCAAGAACGAAAGUUGGGGGAUCGAAGACGAUCAGAUACCGUCGUAGUCUCAACCAUAAACUAUGUCGACUUGGGAUCGGCGGUAGUUUUUUCAUUAAGACACUGUCGGGACCACGGGAGAAAUCAAAGUGUCUGGACUCUGGGGGAAGUAUGGUCGCAAGGCUGAAACUUGAAGGAAUUGACGGAAGGGCACCACCAGGAGUGGAGCCUGCGGCUUAAUUUGACCCAACACGGGGAAACUUACCAGGUCCAGAGAUGUAGAGGAUUGACAGAUUGAAGCUCUUUCUUGAUCACUUCGGUGGUGGUGCAUGGCCGUUCUUAGUUGGUGGAGUGAUUUGUCUGGUUAAUUCCGUUAGCGAACGAGACCUCAGCCUGCUAGUGUAGUCGGCUGGAUUGCCUUUGGCGAUCCGUGAUUUCGACUUCUUAGAGGGACAAUCGACGCGCAGUCGAUGGAAGUUUGAGGCAAUAACAGGUCUGUGAUGCCCUUAGAUGUUCUGGGCCGCACGCGCGCUACACUGCUGGGCUCAGCGAGUUUUACUUGGCCGAGAGGCCCGGUUAAUCUUGUGAAAUCCCAGCGUGCUUGGGCUCGCCUCCUGCAACUGGAGGCGCCAACGAGGAAUUCCUAGUAGACGCAGGUCAUCAACCUGCAUCGAUUACGUCCCUGCCCUUUGUACACACCGCCCGUCGUUCCAUAAGAGUGAGGCAUCCGGUGAAUUCUCGGGAGAGCCUGGGCGUGGCCAGCAAUGGUCUGCUCGGGUUUGAACUUGCAUAAACUUGGUGCCUAUGAUUAGGG